ACGUAUGUCCCGAGCGUUAUCCGGAUUUAUUGGGCGUAAAGCGAGCGCAGACGGUUGGUUAAGUCUGAUGUGAAAGCCCGGAGCUCAACUCCGGAAAGGCAUUGGAAACUGGUUAACUUGAGUGCAGUAGAGGUAAGUGGAACUCCAUGUGUAGCGGUGGAAUGCGUAGAUAUAUGGAAGAACACCAGCGGCGAAGGCGGCUUACUGGACUGUAACUGACGUUGAGGCUCGAAAGUGUGGGUAGCAAACAGG
rnacentral:rRNA from 1 species